AAAUGCGAUAAUUAAUGUGAAUUGCAGAAUUCAGUGAAUCAUCGAGUCUUUGAACGCACAUUGCGCCCCCUGGUAUUCUGGGGGGCAUGCCUGUCCGAGCGUCAUUGCUGCCCUCAAGCACGGCUUGUGUGUUGGGCUUCCGUCCCUGGCAACGGGGACGGGCCCAAAAGGCAGUGGCGGCACCAUGUCUGGUCCUCGAGCGUAUGGGGCUUUGUCACCCGCUCCCGUAGGUCCAGCUGGCAGCUAGCCUCGCAACCAAUCUUUUUAACCAGGUUGACCUCGGAUCAGGUAGGGAUACCCGCUGAACUUAAGC
rnacentral:misc_RNA from 1 species